ACGGGUGCGGAACACGUACGCAACCUUCCUUUAAGUGAGGGAUAGCUUUCGGAAACGAAAAUUAAUACCUCGUAAGAUUGUGAGAUGGCAUCAUCUUAUAAUUAUAGCUCCGGCGCUUAAAGAUGGGCGUGCGCCUGAUUAGGUAGUUGGCGGAGUAACAGCCCACCAAGCCUACGAUCAGUAACUGGUGUGAGAGCACGACCAGUCACACGGGCACUGAGACACGGGCCCGACUCCUACGGGAGGCAGCAGUAAGGAAUAUUGGUCAAUGGACGCAAGUCUGAACCAGCCAUGCCGCGUGGAGGAUGAAGGUCCUCUGGAUUGUAAACUUCUUUUAUCGGAGAAGAAACCCCGGAAUUCUUUCUGGGUUGACGGUACCCGAUGAAUAAGCACCGGCUAACUCCGUGCCAGCAGCCGCGGUAAUACGGAGGGUGCAAGCGUUAUCCGGAUUCACUGGGUUUAAAGGGCGCGUAGGUGGGUUGGUAAGUCAGUGGUGAAAUCUCCAAGCUUAACUUGGAAACUGCCGUUGAUACUAUCAAUCUUGAAUCUCGUGGAGGUAAGCGGAAUAUGUCAUGUAGCG
rnacentral:rRNA from 1 species